rnacentral:rRNA from 1 species
GAUGAACGCUAGCGGCAGGCCUAAUACAUGCAAGUCGGACGGGAUUCAGGAGCUUGCUUCUGAUGAGAGUGGCGCACGGGUGCGUAACACGUAUGUAACCUACCUUUAUCAGGGGGAUAGCCUCUCGAAAGAGAGAUUAAGCCCGCAUAAAAUCACAGCACAGCAUUGUGUAAUGAUCAAAUAUUUAUAGGAUAAAGAUGGGCAUGCGGAAAAUUAGCUAGAUGGCGGGGUAACGGCCCACCAUGGCGACGAUGUUUAGGGGAUCUGAGAGGAUGGCCCCCCACACGGGUACUGAGACACGGACCAGACUCCUACGGGAGGUAGCAGUAAGGAAUAUUGGUCAGUGGGAGGAAGCCUGAACCAGCCAUGCCGCGUGCAGGAAGACGGCCCUACGGGUUGUAAACUGCUUUUAGACGGGAAUAAACCCAGAUACGUGUAGCUGGCUGAAUGUACUGUAAGAAUAAGGAUCGGCUAACUCCGUG